CUUGACUCGCGUUGACACUCAGAGCAAUCAAAUAUACAAAUUCUAGAAAAGAUAAAAUAUAGGGAUUUACAAGAAUAUAACCCACAUAACCUAAAGCCUAAAUGAGGCUCCUCAAAUCUUCAAGAGUGUACAAAAAAACAGUCCCAUGGAAAUAUUCAAGCGCAUCAGACAUUCAUCGGGUAUACACGCUAUGUCUUUCUGAUAACCGAGAGACAUUAAUCUGACGAUUAGUGAGCGGAAAGUUGUCAUAAAAAGAGACGCAAGCCACAUGAUUUACCUCAAUAUCCUAAUCAUGCUCACAGUAAAAAAAAACAGUGUUUUGAUGUCAAAUACUCAGCAUGAGAGCCUAAAAAUGAUAACUACGUUGUCGAAGCAGAAUAUGAAGAACUUAGGAUCUACCAUUUUUACGAACAUGGUGAUUAUUGCGGUCAGUUUUAGUUUUUCAUCAUAGGAAUUAAAGUGUUUCUCUUUUUUUCUUAAAAGCAAUUUAAAAUUUCUGUUAUUUUUUCAAUUAGCUUUCCCCUAAUACAUUGUUAGUCUAUUUUUUUCACUCUUAAUGCAAAACUUGGUAUUUAUAAAUUUCUAUAAAAAUUAUAUACAAAACUGUGUAUUUUAAA